GAGAGUUUGAUCCUGGCUCAGGACGAACGCUGGCGGCGCGCCUAACACAUGCAAGUCGAACGAGCGAGAGAGAGUUUGCUUUCUCGAGCGAGUGGCGAACGGGUGAGUAACGCGUGAGGAACCUGCCUCAAAGAGGGGGACAACAGUUGGAAACGACUGCUAAUACCGCAUAAGCCCACAGGUCGGCAUCGACCAGAGGGAAAAGGAGCAAUCCGCUUUGAGAUGGCCUCGCGUCCGAUUAGCUAGUUGGUGAGGUAACGGCCCACCAAGGCAACGAUCGGUAGCCGGACUGAGAGGUUGAACGGCCACAUUGGGACUGAGACACGGCCCAGACUCCUACGGGAGGCAGCAGUGGGGAAUAUUGCACAAUGGGGGAAACCCUGAUGCAGCGACGCCGCGUGGAGGAAGAAGGUCUUCGGAUUGUAAACUCCUGUUGUUGAGGAAGAUAAUGACGGUACUCAACAAGGAAGUGACGGCUAACUACGUGCCAGCAGCCGCGGUAAAACGUAGGUCACAAGCGUUGUCCGGAAUUACUGGGUGUAAAGGGAGCGCAGGCGGGAAGACAAGUUGGAAGUGAAAUCUAUGGGCUCAACCCAUAAACUGCUUUCAAAACUGUUUUUCUUGAGUAGUGCAGAGGUAGGCGGAAUUCCCGGUGUAGCGGUGGAAUGCGUAGAUAUCGGGAGGAACACCAGUGGCGAAGGCGGCCUACUGGGCACCAACUGACGCUGAGGCUCGAAAGUGUGGGUAGCAAACAGGAUUAGAUACCCUGGUAGUCCACACCGUAAACGAUGAUUACUAGGUGUUGGAGGAUUGACCCCUUCAGUGCCGCAGUUAACACAAUAAGUAAUCCACCUGGGGAGUACGACCGCAAGGUUGAAACUCAAAGGAAUUGACGGGGGCCCGCACAAGCAGUGGAGUAUGUGGUUUAAUUCGACGCAACGCGAAGAACCUUACCAAGUCUUGACAUCCUGCGACGAUGCUGGAAACAGUAUUUUCCUUCGGGACGCAGAGACAGGUGGUGCAUGGUUGUCGUCAGCUCGUGUCGUGAGAUGUUGGGUUAAGUCCCGCAACGAGCGCAACCCUUACUGUCAGUUACUACGCAAGAGGACUCUGGCAGGACUGCCGUUGACAAAACGGAGGAAG
rnacentral:rRNA from 1 species